UAAUAUACCCGUACGUCCACGCCGUAAACGAUNAGAGCUAGCCGUUGGCAUGCAUGCAUGUCAGUGGCGCCGCUUAACGCAUUAAGCUCGUCCGCCUGGGGAGUACGGUCGCAAGAAUUAAAACUCAAAGGGAAUUGACGGGGGCCCGCACAAGCGGUGGAGUCAUGUGGUUUAAUUCGAAGCAACGCGCAGAACCUUACCAGCCCUUGACAUCCCGGUCGCGGUUACCAGAGAUGGUUUCCUUCAGUUCGGCUGGACCGGAGACAGGUGCUGCAUGGCUGUCGUCAGCUCGUGUCGUGAGAUGUUGGGUUAAGUCCCGCAACGAGCGCAACCCUCGCCUUUAGUUGCCAUCAUUGAGUUGGGGCACUCUAGAGGGACUGCCGGUGAUAAGGCCGGAGGAAGGUGGGGAUGACGUCAAGUCCUCAUGGCCCUUACGGGGCUGGGCUACACGACGUGCUACAAUGGUGGUGACAGUGGGCAGCGACGACCGCGAGGUCGAGCUAAUCUCCGAAAGCCAUCUCGU
rnacentral:rRNA from 1 species